AACGGUCUAUACCUGCGGUACCUGCGGAGGGAUCAUUAUUGAAUUAUGUUUCUAGAUGGGUUGUAGCUGGCUCUUCGGAGCAUGUGCACACCUGUUUGGAUUUCAUCUUCAUCCACCUGUGCACCUAUUGUAGUCUUUGGUUGGGUAUCGAGGAAACUGGUCAGCUUUAUCAGCAUUUGCUGGAUGUGAGGACUUGCAGUGGCGAAAGCCUUGCUGUCUUUGACUUGGCCACGGAGUCGG
rnacentral:misc_RNA from 1 species